rnacentral:rRNA from 1 species
AGUGAACGCUGGCGGUAGGCCUAACACAUGCAAGUCGAACGGCAGCACAGUAAGAGCUUGCUCUUACGGGUGGCGAGUGGCGGACGGGUGAGGAAUACAUCGGAAUCUACUUUUUCGUGGGGGAUAACGUAGGGAAACUUACGCUAAUACCGCAUACGACCUACGGGUGAAAGCAGGGGAUCUUCGGACCUUGCGCGAUUGAAUGAGCCGAUGUCGGAUUAGCUAGUUGGCGGGGUAAAGGCCCACCAAGGCGACGAUCCGUAGCUGGUCUGAGAGGAUGAUCAGCCACACUGGAACUGAGACACGGUCCAGACUCCUACGGGAGGCAGCAGUGGGGAAUAUUGGACAAUGGGCGCAAGCCUGAUCCAGCCAUACCGCGUGGGUGAAGAAGGCCUGCGGGCUGUAAAGCCCUUUUGUUGGGAAAGAAAAGCAGCAGGUUAAUACCCCGCUGUUCUGACGGUACCCAAAGAAUAAGCACCGGCUAACUUCGG